GUGGCGAACGGGUGAGUAAUAUAUCGGAACGUGCCCAGUCGUGGGGGAUAACGCAGCGAAAGCUGUGCUAAUACCGCAUACGAUCUACGGAUGAAAGCGGGGGACUCGCAAGGGCCUCGCGCGAUUGGAGCGGCCGAUAUCAGAUUAGCUAGUUGGCGGGGUAAAAGCCCACCAAGGCGACGAUCUGUAGCUGGUCUGAGAGGAUGACCAGCCACACUGGAACUGAGACACGGUCCAGACUCCUACGGGAGGCAGCAGUGGGGAAUUUUGGACAAUGGGCGAAAGCCUGAUCCAGCAAUGCCGCGUGCAGGAUGAAGGCCUUCGGGUUGUAAACUGCUUUUGUACGGAACGAAACGGUCCUCUCUAAUACGGGGGGCUAAUGACGGUACCGUAAGAAUAAGCACCGGCUAACUACGUGCCAGCAGCCGCGGUAAUACGUAGGGUGCGAGCGUUAAUCGGAAUUACUGGGCGUAAAGCGUGCGCAGGCGGUUAUAUAAGACAGAUGUGAAAUCCCCGGGCUCAACCUGGGACCUGCAUUUGUGACUGUAUAGCUAGAGUACGGUAGAGGGGGAUGGAAUUCCGCGUGUAGCAGUGAAAUGCGUAGAUAUGCGGAGGAACACCGAUGGCGAAGGCAAUCCCCUGGACCUGUAC
rnacentral:rRNA from 1 species